rnacentral:sRNA from 1 species
AAAGCAAAUUUAGCCGGACAUUUCUCUCUUCAGAUUCGGCAGGUUAUCUUCAAGCCAUUAUUUAUACUUUCGGACUCACGAACAUUUCCGGCAUUUUAAACCAGAAUAUAUUUUUCUGUUGGCGACCUUCGUAUGAUACCGGCGACCAAAAGAAAAGGCCAGAAGUUAUUGCCAGUCAACAAAGGAGGAAAACAGGGGGAGAAAUAUAAACACAGACGCAAUAAUCUUUGGGCCCUUUCCUUUCCGGUUCGCACUUUUAAAUUUACUUAAUUUAAACUAGUCGGAGCACAAUGGCAAGUCUGCGUCUGACUCUGCCCUUUACU